rnacentral:rRNA from 1 species
CAGUAGCCGCGGGAAUACGAAGGGGGCUAGCGUUGCUCGGAAUGACUGGGCGUAAAGGGCGCGUAGGCGGCGAUCAAAGUCAGGCGUGAAAUUCCUGGGCUCAACCUGGGGGCUGCGCUUGAUACUUGGUUGCUUGAGUGGGGAAGAGGGUCGUGGAAUUCCCAGUGUAGAGGUGAAAUUCGCAGAUAUUGGGAAGAACACCGGUGGCGAAGGCGGCGACCUGGUCCUUGACUGACGCUGAGGCGCGAAAGCGUGGGGAGCAAACAGGAUUAGAGACCCGAGUAGUCCCUGUCUCUUAUAA